rnacentral:lncRNA from 1 species
CUGGCGCCGCUGACGGCCGGCGUGGAUCCCUGCAAGGAUCCGCUGGGACUGCUCAGCCCCCAGCUGGGAUCCUCCUCGGGAUCCUCCUCCCGCUGCCCAGGGGGACGGCCCGGAGCCGCCGGAGCGGGAUCCUACGGGAAUUCGGGAUCCUCGGGAGAUUCGGGAUCCUACGGAGGAGAUUCGGGAUCCUACGGGAAUUCGGGAUCCUCGGGAAGUUCGGGAUCCUACGGAGGAGAUUCGGGAUCCUACGGGAACUCAGGAUACUCUGGAAGUUCAGGAUCCUACGGGGGCGGAUCGGGAUCCUACGGGGGAAAUUCGGGAUCUUACGGAUCGGGAUCCUCUGGAAGUUCGGGGUCCUACGGAUCCGGAUCAGGAAGACCCGGAUCUGGAUCUGGAUCCGGAUCAGGAAGACCUGGAUCUGGAUCCGGAUCAGGAAGGCCCGGAUCUGGAUCAGGAAAGCCUGGAUCUGGAUCUGGAUCCGGAUCAGGCAGGCCUGGAUCCCAGGGGGGAAGUGGAUCUGGCUCCUACGGGGGAUCCUCGGGAUCCUACGGGGAUGAUGUGGGAUCCUACGGGGGAGGAUCGGGAUCCUCUGGUGCAAUGGGAUCCUAUGGGGGGGGAUCGGGAUCCCAGGGCAGACCGGGAUCCUAGGGGGGAGGAUCGGGAUCCUCUGGUGGAAUGGGAUCCUAUGGGGGAUCCUCGGGAUCCUAUGGGGGAUCCUCGGGAUCCCAGGGCAGGCCGGGAUCCUACGGGGGUGGUCCGGGAUCCUACGGGGGAUCCUCGGGAUCCCAGGGCAGGCCGGGGUCCUACGGGGGCGGUCCGGGAUCCUACGGGGGAUCCUACGGGGGAUCCUCGGGAUCCCAGGGCAGGCCGGGGUCCUAUGGGGGCGGUCCGGGAUCCUACGGGGGAUCCUACGGGGGCUCCUUCGG